rnacentral:rRNA from 1 species
UACGGAGGGCGCGAGCGUUAAUCGGAAUUACUGGGCGUAAAGCGCGCGUAGGCUGUUGUGUAAGUUGGGGGUGAAAUCCCACGGCUCAACCGUGGAACAGCCCUUGAUACUGCGCGACUUGAAUCCGGGAGAGGGUGGCGGAAUUCCAGGUGUAGGAGUGAAAUACGUAGAUAUAUGGAGGAACACCGGUGGCGAAAGCGGCUCUCUGGCCUGUAACUGACACUGAGGCUCGAAAGCGUGGGGAGCAAACAGG